rnacentral:rRNA from 1 species
GAUAGCCGGGCGUGAAGACUCUGCUUGACUAGCUGAGAGGAGGUGCAUGGCCGUCGUCAGUUCGUACUGUGAAGCAUCCUGUUAAGUCAGGCAACGAGCGAGACCCACGCCAACAGUUGCCAGCAUGAUCUCCGGAUUUGAUGGGGACACUGUUGGGACCGCCUCUGCUAAAGGGGAGGAAGGAAUGGGCAACGGUAGGUCAGCAUGCCCCGAAUUAUCCGGGCUACACGCGGGCUACAAUGGAUGGGACAAUGGGUUUCGACACCGAAAGGUGAAGGUAAUCUCCUAACCCCACCCGUAGUUCGGAUUGCGGGCUGCAACUCGCCCGCAUGAAGCUGGAACCCGUAGUAAUCGCGUCUCACGAUGGCGCGGUGAAUAUGUCCCUGCUCCUU